rnacentral:rRNA from 1 species
GACGAACGCUGGCGGCGUGCCUAAUACAUGCAAGUAGAACGCACAGUUUAUACCGUAGCUUGCUACACCAUAGACUGUGAGUUGCGAACGGGUGAGUAACGCGUAGGUAACCUGCCUGGUAGCGGGGGAUAACUAUUGGAAACGAUAGCUAAUACCGCAUAAUAUUAAUUAUUGCAUGAUAAUUAAUUGAAAGGUGCAAUUGCACCACUACCAGAUGGACCUGCGUUGUAUUAGCUAGUAGGUGAGGUAACGGCUCACCUAGGCGACGAUACAUAGCCGACCUGAGAGGGUGAUCGGCCACAAUGGGACUGAGACACGGCCCAGACUCCUAAGGGAGGCAGCAGUAGGGAAUCUUCGGCAAUGGACGAAAGUCUGACCGAGCAACGCCGCGGGAGUGAAGAAGGUUUUCGGAUCGUAAAGCUCUGUUGUAAGAGAAGAACGGGUGUGAGAGUGGAAAGUUCACACUGUGACGGUAUCUUACCAGAAAGGGACGGCUAACUACGUG